AUGGAGUUACAUCCAUUGGUAGGAUUGAUAAAUCUGGAGAUGGGGAAGUCCGAUCACAGGCCGAUAUGCUUGGACACAAGCUACCUAGCGGGGGUAGCAUCUGAAGCACCGCGACGCGAACGCAGGUUCGAAGCAAGAUGGCUCGCGGAGGAAAUGGUUGAAGAAAUUGUAAAGACCGCCUGGUUGAAAGCAUAUCAUCUUGGGCUGGGGCCCUCGGUCAAGGCAAAGAUGGAAGUUGUCCAUAAUGAUAUGCAUGCAUGGGAUCAGACGGUACUGAAGGGACCUAGAAAUCGGCUGAAGAAAGCUCAGAGGAAAUUGGAAAGUUUGAUGCGUGUUCCCUUCACCGAUGAGGUCAAGAUGAAGCAGAAUGAACUUCGGUACUUAUUGAAAAUCUGCUUGAUUAGGAGGAAGUCCACUGGGCUCAACGAGGCCACAUCAAUUGGCUUCGUCGUGGGGACCGUAACACAAAAUACUUUACCCAGUUUGCUUCUGCGAGGCGAAGGAGAUAUUUAA
rnacentral:rRNA from 1 species